GGAUAGCUCAGUUGGUUAGAGCAUGGUGCUGAUAACAUCAAGGUCGUUGGUUUGAUCCCCAUAUGGGACAGCUACA